UUAUGCUGGAUAUCCUGGCAAUCAUCCCAGAUUAACAUAUGAGACAGGAACUCUGUGCGAUCGCAUUGAAGCUUAUGCGAUUGCAUCGUUCUUCCUGCCACACUU